AUACGUAGGGUGCAAGCGUUAAUCGGAAUUACUGGGCGUAAAGCGUGCGCAGGUGGUUUUGUAAGUCAGAUGUGAAAUCCCCGGGCUUAACCUGGGAACUGCGUUUGAAACUGCAAGGCUCGAGUGUGGCAGAGGGGGGUGGAAUUCCGCGUGUAGCAGUGAAAUGCGUAGAGAUGUGGAGGAACACCGAUGGCGAAGGCAGCCCCCUGGGUCAGCACUGACGCUCAGGCACGAAAGCAUGGGGAGCAAACAGGAUUAGAUACCCCAGUAGUCC
rnacentral:rRNA from 1 species